rnacentral:rRNA from 1 species
UACGGGAGGCAGCAGUGGGGAAUAUUGCACAAUGGGCGCAAGCCUGAUGCAGCCAUGCCGCGUGUAUGAAGAAGGCCUUCGGGUUGUAAAGUACUUUCAGUCGUGAGGAAGGUGUUAAGGUUAAUAACCUUAGCAAUUGACGUUAGCGACAGAAGAAGCACCGGCUAACUCCGUGCCAGCAGCCGCGGUAAUACGGAGGGUGCGAGCGUUAAUCGGAAUUACUGGGCGUAAAGGGCACGCAGGCGGUUAAUUAAGUUGGAUGUGAAAUCCCCGGGCUUAACCUGGGAAUGGCAUUCAAGACUGGUUAGCUAGAGUCUUGUAGAGGGGGUAGAAUUCCAUGUGUAGCGGUGAAAUGCGUAGAGAUGUGGAGGAAUACCGGUGGGCGAAGGCGGGCCCCUGGGACAAAGGACUGACGCUCAUGUGCGAAAGCGUGGGGAGCGAAACAGGGAUUAGAUACC